UUAAGCGACCAAGCGUACACGGUGGAUGCCCUGGCAGUCAGAGGCGAUGAAGGACGUGCUAAUCUGCGAUAAGCGCCGGUAAGGUGAUAUGAACCGUUAUAACCGGCGAUUUCCGAAUGGGGGAAACCCAGUGUGAUUCGUCACACUAUCAUUAACUGAAUCCAUAGGUUAAUGAAGCGAACCGGGGGAACUGAAACAUCUAAGUACCCCGAGGAAAAGAAAUCAACCGAGAUUCCCCCAGUAGCGGCGAGCGAACGGGGAGGAGCCCAGAGUCUGAAUCAGCAUGUGUGUUAGUGGAAGCGUCUGGAAAGGCGCGCGAUACAGGGUGACAGCCCCGUACACAAAAGCGCACAUGUUGUGAGCUCGAUGAGUAGGGCGGGACACGUGGUAUCCUGUCUGAAUAUGGGGGGGACCAUCCUCCAAGGCUAAAUACUCCUGACUGACCGAUAGUGAACCAGUACCGUGAGGGAAAGGCGAAAAGAACCCCGGCGAGGGGAGUGAAACAGAACCUGAAACCGUGUACGUACAAGCAGUGGGAGCACAGGUUUACCUGUGUGACUGCGUACCUUUUGUAUAAUGGGUCAGCGACUUAUAUUCUGUAGCAAGGUUAACCGCAUAGGGGAGCCGAAGGGAAACCGAGUCUUAACCGGGCGUUAAGUUGCAGGGUAUAGACCCGAAACCCGGUGAUCUAGCCAUGGGCAGGUUGAAGGUUGGGUAACACUAACUGGGAGGACCGAACCGACUAAUGUUGAAAAAUUAGCGGAUGACCUGUGGCUGGGGGUGAAAGGCCAAUCAAACCGGGAGAUAGCUGGUUCUCCCCGAAAGCUAUUUAGGUAGCGCCUCGUGAAUUCAUCUCCGGGGGUAGAGCACUGUUUCGGCUAGGGGGCCAUCCCGGCUUACCAACCCGAUGCAAACUGCGAAUACCGGAGAAUGUUAUCACGGGAGACACACGGCGGGUGCUAACGUCCGUCGUGAAGAGGGAAACAACCCAGACCGCCAGCUAAGGUCCCAAAGUCAUGGUUAAGUGGGAAACGAUGUGGGAAGGCCCAGACAGCCAGGAUGUUGGCUUAGAAGCAGCCAUCAUUUAAAGAAAGCGUAAUAGCUCACUGGUCGAGUCGGCCUGCGCGGAAGAUGUAACGGGGCUAAACCAUGCACCGAAGCUGCGGCAGCGAACGUAUCACUUAAAACGAUUCAGAAGCUUACGAUUGACGGAGCGAAGCGACGUCAAAGCGUAUACAAAGUCGAGUCGGUUUAAGGAUACGUUCGUUGGGUAGGGGAGCGUUCUGUAAGCCUGCGAAGGUGGCCUGUGAGGGUUGCUGGAGGUAUCAGAAGUGCGAAUGCUGACAUAAGUAACGAUAAAGCGGGUGAAAAGCCCGCUCGCCGGAAGACCAAGGGUUCCUGUCCAACGUUAAUCGGGGCAGGGUGAGUCGACCCCUAAGGCGAGGCCGAAAGGCGUAGUCGAUGGGAAACGGGUUAAUAUUCCCGUACUUGGUGUUACUGCGAAGGGGGGACGGAGAAGGCUAUGUUGGCCGGGCGACGGUUGUCCCGGUUUAAGCGUGUAGGCUGACUUUCCAGGCAAAUCCGGAGAGUCAAGGCUGGAGGCGUGACGACGAGGCACUACGGUGCUGAAGCAACAAAUGCCCUGCUUCCAGGAAAAGCCUCUAAGCAUCAGGUAACAUCAAAUCGUACCCCAAACCGACACAGGUGGUCAGGUAGAGAAUACCAAGGCGCUUGAGAGAACUCGGGUGAAGGAACUAGGCAAAAUGGUGCCGUAACUUCGGGAGAAGGCACGCUGACACGUAGGUGAAGUGGUUUACCCAUGGAGCUGAAGUCAGUCGAAGAUACCAGCUGGCUGCAACUGUUUAUUAAAAACACAGCACUGUGCAAACACGAAAGUGGACGUAUACGGUGUGACGCCUGCCCGGUGCCGGAAGGUUAAUUGAUGGGGUCAGCGCAAGCGAAGCUCCUGAUCGAAGCCCCGGUAAACGGCGGCCGUAACUAUAACGGUCCUAAGGUAGCGAAAUUCCUUGUCGGGUAAGUUCCGACCUGCACGAAUGGCGUAAUGAUGGCCAGGCUGUCUCCACCCGAGACUCAGUGAAAUUGAACUCGCUGUGAAGAUGCAGUGUACCCGCGGCAAGACGGAAAGACCCCGUGAACCUUUACUAUAGCUUGACACUGAACAUUGAGCCUUGAUGUGUAGGAUAGGUGGGAGGCUUUGAAGCGUGGACGCCAGUCUGCGUGGAGCCGACCUUGAAAUACCACCCUUUAAUGUUUGAUGUUCUAACGUGGACCCGUGAUCCGGGUUGCGGACAGUGUCUGGUGGGUAGUUUGACUGGGGCGGUCUCCUCCUAAAGAGUAACGGAGGAGCACGAAGGUUGGCUAAUCCUGGUCGGACAUCAGGAGGUUAGUGCAAUGGCAUAAGCCAGCUUGACUGCGAGCGUGACGGCGCGAGCAGGUGCGAAAGCAGGUCAUAGUGAUCCGGUGGUUCUGAAUGGAAGGGCCAUCGCUCAACGGAUAAAAGGUACUCCGGGGAUAACAGGCUGAUACCGCCCAAGAGUUCAUAUCGACGGCGGUGUUUGGCACCUCGAUGUCGGCUCAUCACAUCCUGGGGCUGAAGUAGGUCCCAAGGGUAUGGCUGUUCGCCAUUUAAAGUGGUACGCGAGCUGGGUUUAGAACGUCGUGAGACAGUUCGGUCCCUAUCUGCCGUGGGCGCUGGAGAAUUGAGGGGGGCUGCUCCUAGUACGAGAGGACCGGAGUGGACGCAUCACUGGUGUUCGGGUUGUCAUGCCAAUGGCACUGCCCGGUAGCUAAAUGCGGAAGAGAUAAGUGCUGAAAGCAUCUAAGCACGAAACUUGCCCCGAGAUGAGUUCUCCCUGAGACUAUAAGUCUCCUGAAGGAACGUUAAAGACGAUGACGUUGAUAGGCCGGGUGUGUAAGCGCAGCGAUGCGUUGAGCUAACCGGUACUAAUGAACCGUGAGGCUUAACCUU
rnacentral:rRNA from 1 species